rnacentral:tRNA from 1 species
AUUUAUGUAGUUUAAUAAUAAAACAUUACAUUUUCAUUGUAAAAAUAAAAAUUUUUUUUUAUAAAUA